UACGUAGGGGGCAAGCGUUGUCCGGAAUCAUUGGGCGUAAAGAGCGUGUAGGCGGCCAGACAGGUCCGUUGUGAAAACUCGAGGCUCAACCUCGAGACGCCGAUGGAAACCGUCUGGCUAGAGUCCGGAAGAGGAGAGUGGAAUUCCCGGUGUAGCGGUGAAAUGCGCAGAUAUCGGGAAGAACACCCGUGGCUAAGGCGGCUCUCUAGUACGGUACUGACGCUGAGACGCGAAAGCGUGGGGAGCGAACAGG
rnacentral:rRNA from 1 species